GGGUUGUGAGGUUAAGCGACUAAGCGUACACGGUGGAUGCCCUGGCAGUCAGAGGCGAUGAAGGGCGUGCUAAUCUGCGAUAAGCGCCGGUAAGGUGAUAUGAACCGUUAUAACCGGCGAUACCCGAAUGGGGAAACCCAGUGUGAUUCGUCACACUAUCAUUAACUGAAUCCAUAGGUUAAUGAGGCGAACCGGGGGAACUGAAACAUCUAAGUACCCCGAGGAAAAGAAAUCAACCGAGAUUCCCCCAGUAGCGGCGAGCGAACGGGGAGGAGCCCAGAGCCUGAAUCAGCAUGUGUGUUAGUGGAAGCGUCUGGAAAGGCGCGCGAUACAGGGUGACAGCCCCGUACACAAAAGCGCAUGUGCUGUGAGCUCGAUGAGUAGGGCGGGACACGUGGUAUCCUGUCUGAAUAUGGGGGGACCAUCCUCCAAGGCUAAAUACUCCUGACUGACCGAUAGUGAACCAGUACCGUGAGGGAAAGGCGAAAAGAACCCCGGCGAGGGGAGUGAAAAAGAACCUGAAACCGUGUACGUACAAGCAGUGGGAGCCCCACCACUAAGCCAGUGGUGAACUCCACAUACGCAUCCUUUGCUGAGGAUACGGUUAACGGAGCGAAAGCGACGUUCAACCUCAAAAGAAGCAGAGGGGGCUUAGUGGUGGGGU
rnacentral:rRNA from 1 species